CCUCUGGAAUCUUCCUUGUAUUUUGCCAUAAUGCAGAGUUUGAUGACAGUCCCUUAGUCAUCAUUGCUGUCUGCGUGAGGCAGUUGUAAGUAGAGAGGACUGGGUACAUUUGGGUUUGGCAGUCCCCCCUUUGUCUUGUUUUUGUAAUGCUGUUCCACAGAGGACAUUUUGUCUGUCUACAGACACAAGAGAUCUCCAUAUGGUUUAAGAAUACAUUUCUCUUAUGUUUUCUAUUUUUUCAUGAGCUGUUUUACUAAAUGUUCCCUAUUUUUUUCUUUAUUUGAAAGAAUAUAAGUGUGGGGGAGAAGGUUCUCUAUGGUCUCUACGGUAUAGUGGAGCACAGCGGCUCAAUGAGAGGAGGCCACUACACUGCUUACGUGAAGGUGCGAGUGCCCUCCAGGAAGCUGUCCGAGUGCAUCACCGGGAGGAAGACUGCACCAGGUUUGAAAGAAGCUGAUAGUGAAUUGGGAGGCCACUGGGUCCAUGUCAGCGACACUUAUGUGCAAGUGGUUCCAGAAUCAAGAGCACUGAGUGCGCAAGCUUAUCUCCUUUUUUAUGAAAGAAUAUUAUAAUUAUCUGUUAAUUGUUAUUUAGUUCAUUUUUAUUUUAAUGCUGAAGUCGUAACUGUAAUAUGUAAUGUGCCUUUGUAGUCUGUAGAAAUAGUGCGUCCUUCCAGUGUUACUUAACUUUGUCGAUAUGCAGUGAAUCCUUUAAAGAAAUUAAUUAAUGUGACAGGCAGUUGUGGUGCUCGCCUUUAUUCCAGCACUUGGAAGGCAGAGGCAGGCAGAUCUGUGAAAAACCUUGUCUUGAAAAAUAAAACAAAAAAGUAAUUAAUGCUUUCAAAUCUAUAUUCUUAAGUGUAGAAACAUGUUUUAUGUUAAUUUUCAUGUCCAUGGAGAUUGCCACUCACCACCAAAAAAAAAAAGAAAAGAAAGAAAAAGUUGAUGGUAGUGGAGAGAUCCCCUUCGCGACGUGACUCGUCACUACAGACAUUCAGAGACGAUGCUGGAUCGGGUCUCUAGUGGAUCCUUCUCGAGUGGACGCAGUGUAUCUUGUGCUUACUUUUGUUUUAGCCUUUUACAAUCUCGGCCCUGUUUUGAAUCACUCUUCACAUUUCUCUGUGCGUGUCAUUUUUCUAGUAAACAUUGGUGUAAGUUUAUAACUAUGAAAGAAAAAUUGCCCAUCCUUGCACCACCCCACUUAAAAUCAUCUCAGGGCUUUGCAGUGGUUGGUGUGUGUGUUAGUCGAUGGGAAAAGUUUCUAGAACAGUCUGAACUAGUGCCUAAUGUAACAUAAUAAUUUUUUCAUAUUUUAUGUGACUCAGUAGUAUGAAAAGGAACCAUUGUAAUUUUGGUACUGUGAGUUUACAAGUAAUAAAUUGAUUCGCUUAUCGCCUUGAAUAUUUGAAGAUAUUGAGACAUUUCAUAAACUAAUCAUUUGCAAUCCUUUAAAGACAGUUUGCAAGUGAUUGGUUAAGGCCAAAAUAAAAAUAUAGAGAAUUUUGACACAUAGAACUAGCAUAUAGAAGUUGGUGGUCUAUAUAGGAACAUAGGAUACUUUAAAGUUUAAGGAUGUCUUUGAACUAUAAACUACCAAACUAUAUUUAUGAGUGGUAGAAAUCAUAUUCUUAUAAUUAACAACAAAUAUAAUACUUUUUUUACUUCUGUACAUUAAUAAAUGUUAAAUAUGGUUUUGUCUUCAUAAGCAUUAUUUGAAAAGACAGGUGGCUAGUUGGGGAUGUAGUUCAAUGGCAGAGAACUUGCUUGGCCUGUGUAAGGUCCUGGUUCCAUCCCCAGACACACGAAUAAAACAUUCAGGUCAAUUUGGCUUUGACUUUAAUGGGGCACAGAGCUGCUACUUCUGUUCCCUUUAAAUACGUAGAAACACAGGAGAGUUUCUCCUUCCAAAAUUCAAAGAAUUGAACUGUGAAAACUUAGCAUGAAAAAUAUUACUACGAAGAUUUUAAAUAAUCAAUGAAAUGGUUCAGUGAUACAUAGUAUUAAAGCAAGAUGUAAGGGAACGGGUCCAGCGUCUUAGUCUUCAGUGCCUGUGUUUGAUUCAAUGGGCAAAUGUAGGGGAGAGAGGCUGUAAGCUGUACAGACCUUUAGCCAGCGUCGAGCCUUCUUGGCAUGUGUAACAUAAG
rnacentral:lncRNA from 1 species